AUUGAACGCUGGCGGCAUGCCUUACACAUGCAAGUCGAACGGUAACAGGUUAAGCUGACGAGUGGCGAACGGGUGAGUAAUGCAUCGGAACGUGCCCGGUCGUGGGGGAUAACGCAGCGAAAGCUGCGCUAAUACCGCAUACGAUCUAAGGAUGAAAGCGGGGGACCGUAAGGCCUCGCGCGAUCGGAGCGGCCGAUGUCAGAUUAGGUAGUUGGUGGGGUAAAGGCUCACCAAGCCAACGAUCUGUAGCUGGUCUGAGAGGACGACCAGCCACACUGGGACUGAGACACGGCCCAGACUCCUACGGGAGGCAGCAGUGGGGAAUUUUGGACAAUGGGCGAAAGCCUGAUCCAGCAAUGCCGCGUGCAGGAAGAAGGCCUUCGGGUUGUAAACUGCUUUUGUACGGAGCGAAAAGGUCUCCUCUAAUACAGGGGGCUCAUGACGGUACCGUAAGAAUAAGCACCGGCUAACUACGUGCCAGCCGCCGCGGUAA
rnacentral:rRNA from 1 species